rnacentral:tRNA from 1 species
GGAGGGUUGGCCGAGAGGGAAGGCAGCGGCUUGCUAAGCCGUGGUCAGGGGUCGCCCUGCGCGAGUUCGAGUCUCGCACCCUCCG